GCCUGCAUUCAGACUCCAUCAGCUCUUUCUCUGGAGGCAGAUAGCAUUUUUCAUUAUGAAUCCUUGAGGAUUUUCUUGGAUCACUGUAUUACCAAGAAUAACUAAGUCAUUCAUAAAUGUUCAUUAUAUAUUAUUUUUGUUUCUUUAUGCAGUGUUCUCCUGGUUCUGCUCUCUUCACUUUGCAGCAGUUCAUGUAGGUCUUCCCAAGCCUUUCUUAAAUCAUGCUUAUAAUUGGUCCCACAGCCUCCAUGAAAUGAAUCUGGGCAAGUCAAGCUUAAUGGACAAUAGGGGGCAAGGAAAAGAUGUAUGA
rnacentral:lncRNA from 1 species